rnacentral:rRNA from 1 species
AGCAUAUCAAUAAGCGGAGGAAAAGAAACCAACAGGGAUUGCCCUAGUAACGGCGAGUGAAGCGGCAAUAGCUCAAAUUUGAAAGCUGGCCUUCGGGUCCGCAUUGUAAUUUGUAGAGGAUGCUUUGGGGCAGCCGCCUGUCUAAGUUCCUUGGAACAGGACGUCAUAGAGGGUGAGAAUCCCGUAUGUGACAGGACAUGGCACCCUAUGUAAAGCUCCUUCGACGAGUCGAGUUGUUUGGGAAUGCAGCUCUAAAUGGGAGGUAAAUUUCUUCUAAAGCUAAAUACUGGCGAGAGACCGAUAGCGCACAAGUAGAGUGAUCGAAAGAUGAAAAGCACUUUGGAAAGAGAGUUAAAAAGCACGUGAAAUUGUUGAAAGGGAAGCGCUUGCAAUCAGACUUGUUCUGACUGUUCGGCCGGUCUUCUGACCGGUUUAUUCAGUCUGGGCAGGCCAGCAUCAGUUUCGGCGGUCGGAUAAAGGCCUUGGGAAUGUGGCUCUGCCUUCGGGUAGAGUGUUAUAGCCCAGGGUGUAAUACGGCCAGCCGGGACUGAGGUCCGCGCUUCGGCUAGGAUGCUGGCGUAAUGGUUGUAAGCGACCCGUCUUGAAACACGGACCAAGGAGUCUAACAUCUAUGCGAGUGUUCGGGUGUCAAACCCCUACGCGUAAUUAAAGUGAACGGAGGUGGGAACCGCAAGGUGCACCAUCGACCGAUCCUGAUGUCUUCGGAUGGAUUUGAGUAAGAGCAUAGCUGUUGGGACCCGAAAGAUGGUGAACUAUGCCUGAAUAGGGUGAAGCCAGAGGAAACUCUGGUGGAGGCUCGCAGCGGUUCUGACGUGCAAAUCGAUCGUCAAAUUUGGGUAUAGGGGCGAAAGACUAAUCGAACCAUCUAGUAACUGGUUCCU